GGUGGCAGUAAAUGAACAAUCUUUUCCAAACUUCACUCCAAGACGAUCUGACCAUGUGCAUCUAACUCAUAUAUAUCCUAGUGUGAACAACUACCUCACUCAAGAAAUACUGGAUCUGGUGGCAGUAGAAGAACAAUCUUUUCCAAACUUCACUCCAAGACCUUCUCACCAUGUGCAUCUACCUCAUACACAUCCUACUGUGAACAACAAUCUCACUCAAGGUCAAGGGCAUGGCUCACUACAACAAGAUAUGGAGCCCUCUUGACUGAUCGAACGUUGGUAUGAAGAACCGAACACGGUGGACGAUGACAAACAGGAUCGGGAGGAAUACUGAGUUAAAGUGGCGUGAUGUUGUCGGAGCAACAGCAUAACUGAACAUCACAGACAGCAAAAUUAUGUUCAUCAGCAAAGGGGGUCAUGAAGUGGUGGUUGUCACACAACAGCGUGCUAAGUGCUGAUGUCACGCAAGACAUCACGUUAAACGUUUGACCAUAACAUACACAUACUGUAACCUUCCUAUUUGUUUUGCU